UCCCUGAUGGCUCAGAUGGUAAAGCACCUAUCUACAAUGUGGGAGACCUGGGUUCAAUCCCUGGGUUGGGAA
rfam:Ovis aries breed Texel chromosome 4, whole genome shotgun sequence.